CCAAGCACAGAAGUAACACACGCACCCUUCCUUCCUUCAGGCUUCAACUAUGGCUCUCGUCAGGAACUUGGCUGCGCUCCUGUGCGUGGUGCUCGCCUCGCUUGCGUUCGUCGCACAGGCCGUGCUUGCCGCCAGAGGUGAUUUAAGCAACGUGAAGCGAGACGGUGUGAGGGGAACCUGGGCGUCCCCUUCCUACCAGGUGCGGCCGGGGCCGCUCCCGCGCUAUCCUCCGAAGUAGGAUGGAAGCAAUCUAUGCCAAGAACGGGAAUACAAGUAUGCCGCUCAAGAGUAAUUUAGUUAUUUGUCACUGAGCACUGAGCGUUCGCUGCCGAUAUAAAGAUACCGAAAUGCACGAUUGUAUUUGUAUGUUACUCCAUGCGUCUCAUGAUAUAAGAUGUUAUUACAAUCGUAUGCGAAUAAACAACAAGGAGCAACCUGUGUGCCUUGCUGUGUGUCCCAUGUCCGGAGACUGUCCG
rnacentral:rRNA from 1 species